CCAGGCGGAAGUCUCUGACCGCGACGAGCGAGCGAUUUUUGCAAAGCAUUGCUGGAAAAGGCUCGAAUUGUAUUGUUAGUCGAGUUCAGGCUACAACCGCCUCCUAUUAGAGGUUUCUGCCGAGACUUACGCUAGAGAAGCUAGGAAAAGUGGAAGGGGCGGUGGUGGCUGCCUCGCUGGAAAUGGCCGCGCUGAGGGCAGGUCACGUGUCGCGACUUCCGGCCCCCGGCGCGCUCGGUCUUGGGACAGUUUUAAAUGCGGAGUCAUCUCUCCACCUGCGUGGGCUCGGACCGCGAGCGUAGCUGCGUUCGCGCCUUUUACAGAAGGGAUUGAAAUCCCCGUCACCACCAAAAAAAUGACAGGAUGACAACUGCCCUGUACAAUAUUGCGAGAAUAUUGUGACUUAACGUGGCCAGCGUGUAGUGACUAACAACAUCUGAAAUACUGUGCAUGUCCUUGACUCACCAACUCACAUGGCUUCUCCUUGCAAAAUAUCAAGCAAUUUAUUCGUGUCUUGGGGUGCGAUUCAAUAAGCCUUCGACAUGCUCCUGCCUUUUUCAUCGACAUUUCGCACAGAACCAAGAAUCCUGUGUUUAGGGCAGAACUCAAGCGUGCCUCAUUUUCCUGUUCCUAAGAGAUUUGACAAGGGAAGUGUAAUCUGGACGCCGGAGUAAGUUUAUACUCAAUGAAAAACAAGUAUCAGUUGCACGUGGCUAAAAAUACAUGUGAGGACUAUCUGAAGGGCAUCUCACCAGAGAAAAAGAUACAGCCUUUUGGACCACCAGAAAAGGGUUAAAGAAAGUAGAGGCCAUUACUAUUCAUAACAUUGGAAAUGGUAAAUAGGGUUGUGACUGAAUGUAGAGAUUAUCUAUUACCUUUUAAGAGAUUGGACAUCAAUUCCAUUCACCUCUGAACAGUUACUUGGCAGUUCCUUGCAGAGCUGCCUGUUCUAGAACACUUUAAAGAACGCCACAGGAAAUCACAGUUCUUGGUAUAUGAAAUUAUUCUGUCAACAUUUAUAAUACAUUUGAUAUGCAGGUGGCAAGUAAGAAAAAUUAUACUAAAUAGUACCAUUCCUGGUAAGUCUCACUGUUAUGAGGAUUUCUUGUUCUCACAAUACCAACAAUUUGCAUAUGGAAUCCCUCACUUCGCGCUUAAUUUUUCUUCCUUGCCACUUGAUAUUCUUAAAUAGUCAUGUAUGUUUUAGCCAGGCAUGGUGUUACACGCCUGUAAUCCCGCACACAUCUGGCUGAGGCAAGAGGAUUGCUAUGCUGUUGUAGACCAGCCUGAACUAUGCAGUCUCGGUCUCAAAAAAAAAUGUCAUGUGUUUUGCCAUCAGUUAAGACCACUGCAGACAGUAAACAGAAGAGAAUCUAUGAGAUUUGCUCUCUACAGAAUCUAUAAGGAGACUGAAGAGAUAAUGUGUUCUCAUGAGUCUGAUUUAUGAAAUACUGUAGUUAUUGGAUUUUAAAAAGCGGGCUUCAAACCUGCGCACUCUGUGGAGGCACUGAGGUUUUUCUCUUUAUGCCUUUUAGAUUGCUAUAAGGCCCAAAAACUUCAUGAGCAUUUACCCAAAUCUUUUCCCAUCUCUGUCCCAUCAUGGGUCCUAUCGCAAUGUAUUGAUUUUCCAAUUCCUUUGUCUAUCUGUAAUGUGCCUUCACUCACAAUAUGUGUUCUAGCCAGUUUAGUUUCAGAAAGACGUAUUUUCUGAACUUGCAUCAAAAUCAUGAUCCUGAAUAUUUGAAAGCUACAGCCCUUUAUUUUUUAUUAACUCAAUUUUAUUACACAUUCAGCAAUAUUCCAUUUAUUCACUAUUUUACAAUGUAUCUUUGCUUCUCUUCCUGUAGACUUCUUUAGAUUUCCUUGAGGCCGACUGUGUGCCCUCUGGUCGAGCCAAAACAGCCCUGAACUCAGAAACUUUGGCAAAGACUCCCACAGUUGUAUAAACUGGACGAUUUAGGAAUUUUAAACUUUAGAUGAUAAUUUGGACGUUCUCUAUUUUAUUUUUAUUUUUGUUCUUAAAUUUUUGUUCUAAAAGGUCUUAAAUGAACUUUAAUCCUUGUUUUAAAGAUUAAAGAAUUGUGUCUAUACAUAUGACUCUUGACUUAGCGCUCAUGAUACUGCACUACACUACAGAACCUGAUCUCUGUGUACUGUGUCCAGGCCUGCUGGUUGGUUUUCCUUCAGUGCUUGACCUUGUUGAUGGCAUUUCCAUGAAGGGCUGAGGAGAAUGACUGUCUCUGUUGCUUUUGAUGUGCGAUGCAUACAGAGAUGUGUGCAGGCAGAGUAGCUCUGGUCUAGAGGACAAGCCCGGUAUCCUUGUGAGUUAAUUACAGCUUCCACACGUUGUUUACACCAGAACAUUUUCUCCCCAUGGAAUGUAAGUAAAACUUAGUUUUUGUCACCAAUAAAUGGUAAUACUACAAAAAAAAAAA